GAUGAACGCUGGCGGCGUGCUUAACACAUGCAAGUCGAACAGAAAGGCGCUGCUUUUGUGCGGUUCUCGAGUGCCGAACGGGUGAGUAACACGUGUGUAUCAUGCCCUUAACUUUGGGGUAACAUCAGGGAACUGGGGCUAAUACCGGGUAGGAUCUCCUGAUGCGUGGGGGGCGUUGGAAAGUGUCGGCGGUUGGGGAUGGAUUCGCGGCUUAUCAGCUUGUUGGUGGGGUUGUGGCUUACCAGGGCUAUGAAGGGUAGCCGGCGUGGGAGGGUGGCCGGCCACCUGGGGCCUGAGGUACGGCGCAGACGCCUACGGGAGGCAGCGGGGGGGAGUCUUGCACAACGGGCGGGCGCCUGUUGUGGCGGCGCCGCGUGCGGGAUGCCGGGUUUCGGGUUGUGAACCGCUUUGGCCUGAGACGAAGCGGUCGUGACGGUAACGGGUAAAGAAGCACCGGCUAACUACGUG
rnacentral:rRNA from 1 species